rnacentral:lncRNA from 1 species
CUUUCCUCAGCCAAAAAUGGGGGAUUUUGUCAAGAAAAGCCAAAUCUUCAAAGUCAGCAACACCGAGUUCAACUACGCUUCGGACUCGACCCUAGUUCGGACUAGUCGACACAAUCCAGAGCCCUAGUCACUUCACAAGUUGACUUCGACUCUAAAACGAUUCCCAUACAGACUUCGCAAUACAGCCGAAGUCUUCCAAGGUCUCCUCACUCGAACUCACCUCGAACACGGGGAAGACAAGGACUGCGACUUCAACUCAAACUAUGUCCAAGAAAUCCCGUUAUCAGGGCCAACCCAAGGUUUGGUAAUAACUUCAACACCGCAAGGCAGAUUUGUUCACUGGCCAGGAAUGAGGCCAUCUCUCCUUACCCGCGACUACGAGUCACGCCUUGUCGCUCACAUAGACAACCUCCC